UACAGAGGUCUCAAGCGUUGUUCGGAUUCAUUGGGCGUAAAGGGUGCGUAGGCGGCGCGGUAAGUCGGGUGUGAAAUCUUGGAGCUUAACUCCGAAACUGCAUUCGAUACUGCCGUGCUUGAGGACUGGAGAGGAGACUGGAAUUUACGGUGUAGCGGUGAAAUGCGUAGAUAUCGUAAGGAACACCUGUGGCGAAAGCGGCUCACUGGACCAUUACUGACGCUGAUGUACGAAAGCUAGGGGAGCAAACAGG
rnacentral:rRNA from 1 species